CAGUCAACUGGGUAAAAUCUGGAUUUGGCUGCUACAGUGGAAAAUUCUCCCCUCUGGGUCAAAGAGUUCUGUCUCCUAGACUCUCUUCGAAAAAAGCAGAAGAUAAGUUAAACUGGUGGACAACGUCAAGUUUUUUCCAACAAGUCUGUAUUUUCAGUCUAUAGAAGGAGUAAUUUGCACCACAGAAUGCAUCUAACACAGGCUGGGUCACUCGUCUAAAUUCUCUGUG